rnacentral:rRNA from 1 species
CCUACGGGAGGCAGCAGUGAGGAAUAUUGGUCAAUGGACGAGAGUCUGAACCAGCCAAGUAGCGUGAAGGAAGACGGUCCUAUGGAUUGUAAACCUCUUUAUGCGGGGAGCAAUGCCGGGCACGCGUGCCCGGAGGGAGAGUACCCGCAUAAUAAGCAUCUGCUGACUCCGUGCCAGCAGCCGCGGUAAUACGGAGGAUGCGAGCGUUAUCCGGAUUUAUUGGGGUUAAAGGGUGCGUAGGCGGAUUUUUAAGUCAGCGGUAAAAUGUCCGGGCUAAACCCGGGACGGCCGUGGAAACUGGGGAUCUUGAGUGGGCGAGAGGUGUGCGGAAUGCGUGGUGUAGCGGUGAAAUGCAUAGAUAUCACGCAGAACUCCGAUUGCGAAGGCAGCAUACCGGCGCCCGACUGACGCUGAGGCACGAAAGCGUGGGGAUCGAACAGGAUUAGAUACCCGAGUAGUC